rnacentral:rRNA from 1 species
GUGAGUAACCUGCCCUUGACUCUGGGAUAACUCCGGGAAACCGGGGCUAAUACCGGAUACGAGACGCGACCGCAUGGUCGGCGUCUGGAAAGUUUUUCGGUCAAGGAUGGACUCGCGGCCUAUCAGCUUGUUGGUGAGGUAAUGGCUCACCAAGGCGUCGACGGGUAGCCGGCCUGAGAGGGCGACCGGCCACACUGGGACUGAGACACGGCCCAGACUCCUACGGGAGGCAGCAGUGGGGAAUAUUGCACAAUGGGCGAAAGCCUGAUGCAGCGACGCCGCGUGAGGGAUGAAGGCCUUCGGGUUGUAAACCUCUUUCAGUAGGGAAGAAGCGAAAGUGACGGUACCUGCAGAAGAAGCGCCGGCUAACUACGUGCCAGCAGCCGCGGUAAUACGUAGGGCGCAAGCGUUGUCC